rnacentral:miRNA from 1 species
GCCGAAUGUUAUAAGGUU